rnacentral:rRNA from 1 species
AGAGUUUGAUCAUGGCUCAGAGCGAACGUUAGCGGCGGGCCUAACACAUGCAAGUCGAGCGAGAAAGUGGCUUCGGCCAUCAGUAAAGCGGCGGACGGGUGAGUAACACGUAAGUAAUCUUCCCUUGAGCGGGGGACAACGUUUCGAAAGGAACGCUAAUACCGCAUACGUUUCCAGGGGCUCCGGCCCCUGGAAGGAAAGCUAGGUCGCAAGAUCCGGCACUCGAGGAGGAGCCUGCGUCGCAUCAGCUAGUUGGUGGGGUAACGGCCUACCAAGGCGAAGACGCGUAGCUGGUCUGAGAGGAUGAUCAGCCACACUGGGACUGAGACACGGCCCAGACUCCUACGGGAGGCAGCAGUGGGGAAUAUUGGACAAUGGGCGCAAGCCUGAUCCAGCCACGCCGCGUGAGUGAUGAAGGCCUUCGGGUCGUAAAGCUCUGUGGGGAGGGACGAACCGCUGCUGGUGCAUAUCCAGCAGCAUGACGGUACCUCCUUAGCAAGCACCGGCUAACUUCGUGCCAGCCGCCGCGGUAAUAC